UUGUAUUGUGACUCAAACUAAUUUUUAGUUUUUUGCAGAGAAAGAGAGGAUGGCUCUAUGCAUAUUGUCAAUUGAUAUGAUGGGGGUUCUAAUGGCGUUGGUUAUUGCUCUAACUCUCAUGCUCAUAUGUUCUUCUCCUCCUAGAAGGGUUGUCGUUCAUCGUUACCCUUAUUACUAACUAAUUAGCCACACUUACAAUUAAUUGAGUCUCUGCAUCGGCUAAAAUCAUGUAAUUCGUUUUCGGAAAAACACAGAGACACUAAUAAGGUACACAACUUAUUUUUCAUUCUUUUUUCAUUCUUUUUGUUAAUUUUUUAUAAUUAUAUCUGUUUAUUAUUAUAUUUUCCAUCUCAAAUUUUUUGAAUAAAAAAAAAUGAGAAUAAAUUAGAUUUUUAUAAUUUGUUUUAGUUUAUCACCAAACAAAAUAUAAGAACACAAAAUUUUGUAUUUGUGUCCAUCAGUGUCUUAUCAUGUCUUGUUCUCAAUGUCUUGUUCUAUCAUGUUCUCAUAAACAAACGUAGCCUUAUCUACUUUAGUCUUAGACUAUUUUUUCUUAGGUGUGUUACUGUGUUUUAUGUUAUUUUAUUUGUUAAUCGAGCAAGGUGAAACGGUUAAAUUAACAAGUAGUGAAUUUUAUGGUGCCUAUAACUUGAUGCCUAAUUUUUGCCCAACUUACUUCUUAUGGCAAUUUUUGAAUAUUUAAUAAUUAUUUACUUUUAUACUUUUAAAAUUAAAUAUUAAUUUUUAACUCUUUUUAGUAAGUUAGGCAAACAUUUUUAGACACCAUAGCAAUCACAUUAAUAAGUAUAUGGUUUUAUAGUAUAUUUUUUUAUUUUUUGUAUAUUUUUGGAUCAAAGGUCGCGAUAUAUUAUUGUAGAUGCUGUCUAAUAAGCCUAACUUAAUCCCUUCAUUAUUUUAAUUAUCUUUUUUGUUUUUUAACCUAAAAUUAUUUCAUGAUGUUCUUUUUCACUCUUACUAAAAAGGUAAGACUUAGUUAUGUUUCAGUUUGGUCAAAAUUUGGGAAUUCAGAUAAGUGAAGUUUUGUCAUGAAUUUAGUUUUGGUGGCUAAAAUUUUGUACAAAAAGUCAAUUAACUUAAAAAAAAAAAACUUAGGCUAAUAUAUCUCCUCUAAUAUUGGCUCACAUUAAUGAUCCAAAAAUUGUAUUAAUUUGGAGCUACUUGUUGGAGGUUGUUAUUAAAAAUUCAAUAGUGAGGUGUAUGUGAAUUUUCAAUGACGAAACAGAGAUAAGAUUGAACUCUAAAGAGACAUUCGAGAUGCUGCCACGCAAAACUCUAACCAGAAAUAUUGUAAACAAAUAAUAUGACAUCAUUAUGUUUCAAUUAUUCAUGCUUUGUUUUAAUGCGUUCUAAUCUCGAGAGCUUAAUUUAAUAUUGGAAAAUCAAAUAUGUUGCUGCAGCUAAUGCCUAUAAUGGGAUGUUAAAUGAAAUAGUGAGGUUAUUUAAGAUACAAAUUGAAAAUAUAAAUCAAAGUAAGACUUAGAAAUUAAUUUGACGAAAAAAACAGUGUUAGAAGAAGAAAGGAAAUAGAGAAAAAAAAAUUCAAUAGUAAAAAAAUUUUAAAUUAUGGAGGUCAUAUAUUUUAUCACCACAAUAACAACAGAAUUACAUUAUUCUAGUCUCCAGUAUUUCUCUGUUUAACUAACACCCAUUGACUUAAGAAGCUUCACAAAUCAAAAUUAAAAUCGACUUUAGACUAGUGGUGAUUAUAGACUUAAUAGUCAACUUGUGAGUUGGAAAAAAAGAAAAAAUAUAUAUAGAAACCAAGUCUUAAACAAACUCAAUUUGAAUAAAACCAAGGGUAUUCCAUUCCAUUCCCUUUCAUUCAGGCACUUUUGUUCAUACAAGGCACAUAGAGAUGGUUUGCAAGGAAAUAUGUAUUGAUUUCAUGGGGCUUCUGAUGGCGCUGGUUAUUGCUCUGGCCCUCAUGCUCAUCUGCUCCACCUCGCCAAGGCGGAGGGUUGUCGUCCACCGCUGGCCUUACUAGCUUCUUCUUCAUAAUAUGGCUCUGCUGUGUGUAUCUUGUCACCAGAGUUUUUUCUGUUAUCUCAAGAGUUUGUAUGAGCCGGGUAUUUGAUCAAGUGUUCAUUACUAUUUUUAUAAGUCUUUGUGUAAAACCAUAUACUUUCUUCUAUAUCAAAUAAAAUUUUCAGUUUAGAAA